rnacentral:rRNA from 1 species
AUGUCAGACUGUGCCACGAAUAGAUUCAAUGAGAAAGAAGACUUCCAAGUUGUUUUGGGCAAAGGAAAUCCUGGAGAGUCAUCUUGCCAGCAACUUACCAAGUGGAUGGCACACUGGACCAGAGCAAGUAGCAGUCCAUAUGGCAGGAGCUGUAGUCCUUUGGAGGAUGCCAACAAUAGCACUUGCGCAAAAGAUUCUGAAACUUCACCUUUUGAGCUUAGGAAAUCCACCGUGGCCGAAAGGCUAAUGUCGGGAAGAAACCAUGAAGGAAUUUCAAUGAAGAAUGUGCCGCGACUAGACCCUAACAUGUGGGGUGUGGCGCAUGAUGCUUGGCAAGAAGAUGAACAGACCAAAACUGAAUGGCGAGAUGGGCAUUUUCAAAGCUGUAAGAUCCAGAUGCAGAAAGAUGAAAAUUUCUAUGCCAAGACAGUAGUAUCAAAAACACUUUCCGUUUGCAGGCUUUCAGAUCUACCAUUGGAUUUUCAGAAACUUGUGAGCUCAGACGAGAACCCUGAUUCACAUUGGAACCAGAUUCCUAUGUUGUCAGUCAAUCAGAAAGUUGAAACUAUACUCAGCCCAAAGCGGAAGUAUGCGUCCGGUUCUGUGUUUGAUGAUCUCUUUGUGCCACAACAAAUUCCGAAGCUAAACGUGGGUCCAUCCAACUUGAUGGCAUGCUCACAUCAGGAAUAUGGGCUGCAGUUUCCUCGAAUGACUGACAUGGUCAUGGACCAUUGCAAACCUUCAGGGGGCAUCAAACAUCUCCUAGAAGACCCUACCUGUCUCAUUUCUGAUCAUGCAGGGAAGAAACUAAAAGUUGACAAUAACUCAUCAUCAGAUUGUGGAAUGGAUGAGCAGGGUACAGGUCACUAUUUUGCAAACCCAAAUCAGGAGCCGCUCGGCAGAUGUGACGAAAAGCAGUUCAACCUUUCAGAAAACAGUGACAAAUUUACAGAUUCUGUUAAACAAAACGAUGCCUGUUUAUUUGAAAUGCUGACAAUCCCUUCCAAACCACAAAGUACGUACCCAGUAGAUUCUCUCUCUUCUUGUAGUCCUUUAUUUGGAGCCCAGAAUCAACUCUCAUGUAAAACUAAAACGAUGCAUGGAGAUGCACAGUAUGUGUCAAAAUCCUCAGCAGGCAUGGCUUCAUCGUUGAUGCAAAAGGACAACAUCUGCGCAGAAAAAGCAAAUGAGCAGCUGGCAACUCUAUCUAUAGAAGGAUCACCAAGAUACAACAAAGCAAACAUAUUUCAUAAUGCCAAUGCCAAUCAAUACGUUUCAUCCAAAGCAACCACUUCCAGCAAGCAAGAACCCAGCAGCCCCGGAACAGAAACCAUGGACUUGGAUCCCCUGCCGUUUGAAAGCGGGACAAGAAAUCAAGUCCCCACCGACACAAUCCGAUCGCCAGCGGGUGCCGAUCCAAGCGAAAAAUGGCUCAAGCGCCUGCUCCAUGACACCGCAAACCCUCAUGUUCACCGUUCCAAGAGGCCCAGAACGGGAGACUGCCGUCCGGUCAGAGGAGCAGGUGGAAUGUCCGGCACCGACAUUGUCGACCCUGUUGAGGCAAGGUGUGUUCGCUGCUGGAUAGGGAGGUUGUGCCAGGGUGGCGGCGCCCCUGUUUCGCUUGGAGAACCAGACGAAAGGAGAACAACAGCGAAGCCUGACGUCGCGGCCAGGGAAUUUGGAGGCCAUUUCUCGAGCAUCAAGGCGAUGGCGAUGAUGGGGCGGAUGAUGAGAAAGAUCCGGCCAUUUGAUCGUGAGAGGAAGGGGCCUUGGGUUAUGUGGAAGGCAGAGGACGGAGCCUGA